AAAAGGUUCGAUAUUACUAGGAACUACAAAUCAUCAGGGAACUACAAAUCAAAAUCAUAAUGAGAAAUCAUCUCACCCCAGUUAGGAUAGCUAUUACCAAAAGUAAAUAAAUAAAUAAUAACAGACUGGUGGAGAUUCCGAGAAAAGGGAACACUUAUUCACUCUUGAUGGAAACAUAAAUUGGUACACUCACUAUGAAAAACAAUACGGAGAGUCCUCAAAAAACUAAAAUAGAACUACCAUAUGAUGCAACCAUCCACUACCAGGUACAUAUCCAAAAGAAAUGAAACCAUUAUAUCAAAGAGAUACCUGCAUUCCCAUGUUUAUUGUAGCACUAUUAACAAUGUCAAAAUAAGGAAUCAACCAGGUGCCCAUCAACAGAUGAAUAGAUAAAGGAAAUGUGGUGUAUAUGAACAAUGGACUAUUAACCAUAAAAAGAAUGAAAUCCUGUCCCUUAUGAUGAAGUGGAUAGAACUCCAGACCGUGAUGUUAAGUAAAUAAACCAGACACAGGAAGACAAUGCUUCAUGGUCUUAAUCAUUUGUAGAAGUUAAAAACAACAACAAAAUACCUCACAGAAGAAAAAGGUGGAAUGGCAGUCUCUACAGGCUAAGAAAGGGGGGAACAGGGCCAGAUGAACUAAAUGAAAUAAAAAAGACAAACCAUACAGAACCAUGAUAUUUUAUUACUAUAGUCAACAGACAGAAAAUUAUAUUCUGUAUACCAAGGAGAUGUGUACAAAAUAUUCUCAGCAAAUUGUUCUGUAAUAGUGAAAAACAAGAAGUAACUCAAAUGUCCCAUGACUAGGAGAUGGGAGAAAUAAUUCAUGGCAUUAUCACAUGAUAAUCUCAGAGUUGUGAAAGUAAGUGAAGUACAACUCUGUGUAACACAAAACAGACAGUCUCAGAAACAAUUGUGUGUGAGAGAGGAAAGC
rnacentral:lncRNA from 1 species